rnacentral:miRNA from 1 species
UGUGUGUGUGUUGUGUGUGUGUGUGUGCGUGCGUGCACGCACACACACACACACACACACACACA